rnacentral:sRNA from 1 species
UAUGAAAUCAACAAGCGAAUUUAUCAUCACAAAGGGGUUUUGGGGAUGGGCACGAUCGUAUGUCAAACGUGUGAUGCGACGAUUGCGUAUUUCGAAGAUGAAAAAGUGACAACGCUUUAUGGGAAAUGUGAUUGCUGCGAGCAUGACAAUGAGGGCGGAGAAAAGAAUAAAACGGUCAAACCGAUGGGGGAAAGGAACGGAUAGAGGCGCACAUGUCGACAAGUCACAUGCGCGCCGUUUAUUUUU